GGGAAGCCUGCGCGGCGGGCCUGCCGCCUUAACCCUCGCCACUCCGGGUAGCUCCGGGAAGCAGCUAUUGGCGGGGAGGGCGUGAUGGCGAACCGGCUGGGAAGGGAAACGGAGACACGCUUCUCACCUGGGCCUGGCAACCCUCCACCGGGGAUCUCUCCACCCCCUUCUCUUUCCCUUCGAGCUUUGGUUAACCCUUGAAAUCCGGCCUUGAAAUACACAAGAGGGGGUUUGUUCCCCGACUUGAAGUCGAGCGGCUGAAAUCCAGAUAUUUUAAAACCAUCCCAAAUUUGGUUUGAGGAAUCAUGUUGGCUGUCCUAUUUCAGCGUGGCGUACCCUCCCCCGUGCUGCUCUGGACAGUUCCUUUUCCUCGGGAGGGAACUGUCAAGCGAGGUGUGUGUGUGUGCGCGCGCGUGUGUUGUUUUCGGCGCAUGCACACCCCUCGGUAGCCUCAAGGUCGGCAAUACCCUGAGCAUUCCCGGCCCCCCGCCGUCCGGGCUCGGCCCUGCCAGGCAGGGACGGAGAGAGAGGGAGUCCCCCGUCCCGGCAGGGCGUUCUGCGAGCGGUUUCAGCGUCCAGCAAGGUCGGUGCUGAAGCAGGGCCGGGCGCGGGGAAGCUGGGCUCCGGAGGGUGGACCCCAAACAGCCGCCACUGGGCGGCAGGGACCCGGCCGGGCCGCUCGGCGCGCCAGGACUCCCCCGGGGGUGCUCGGAGACCCCGGAGAGGAGGAGCGGGGAGGGGCGCGGGGCUCUCCCAGGCGGCGAGCUGUCCCGGAGUUUGAGGACCGGAGAGGCAGCUGGUUUCUGCCCAGGACUCCUGAUUUCUUCUCAGAUGGAAACAGUUUCUCCAGGUGAACCUGCUGGAAUUCUCAAUGGAGUCUCACUCGGGUUUAGCCUCCUGGUACAUUUAACCGAGGCCGCAUUUAUCCCCGUGAGAAGAGGAAGGUGCCAAAUGGAGCGGGGCUGUCGGUUGCAGAACACGGCUGCAGGAGUGGACAUCUGCAGGACAUGAGGAAGAAGAG
rnacentral:lncRNA from 1 species